UGGGGAAUUUUGGACAAUGGGCGAAAGCCUGAUCCAGCAAUGCCGCGUGUGUGAAGAAGGCCUUCGGGUUGUAAAGCACUUUUGUCCGGAAAGAAAUCCUUGGCUCUAAUACAGUCGGGGGAUGACGGUACCGGAAGAAUAAGCACCGGCUAACUACGUGCCAGCAGCCGCGGUAAUACGUAGGGUGCAAGCGUUAAUCGGAAUUACUGGGCGUAAAGCGUGCGCAGGCGGUUUGCUAAGACCGAUGUGAAAUCCCCGGGCUCAACCUGGGAACUGCAUUGGUGACUGGCAGGCUAGAGUAUGGCAGAGGGGGGUAGAAUUCCACGUGUAGCAGUGAAAUGCGUAGAGAUGUGGAAGAAUACCGAUGGCGAAGGCAGCCCCCUGGGCCAAUACUGACGCUCAUGCACGAAAGCGUGGGGAGCAAACAGGAUUAGAUACCCUGGUAGUCCACGCCCUAAACGAUGUCAACUAGUUGUUGGGGGAUUUCAUUUCCUUAGUAACGUAGCUAACGCGUGAAGUUG
rnacentral:rRNA from 1 species